rnacentral:rRNA from 1 species
GUCUAGGGCCAUAUCACCUUGAAGGUGUCUGAUCUUGCCUGAUGUCAGAAGCUAAUCAGGGUCAGACCUGGUUAGUUACUUGGUGUGGGAGACCACUUGGUAAUAUUGGGUACUGUCGGCU